rnacentral:rRNA from 1 species
UGGGGAAUAUUGGACAAUGGGCGAAAGCCUGAUCCAGCCAUGCCGCGUGUGUGAAGAAGGUCUUCGGAUUGUAAAGCACUUUAAGUUGGGAGGAAGGGCAUUAACCUAAUACGUUAGUGUUUUGACGUUACCGACAGAAUAAGCACCGGCUAACUCUGUGCCAGCAGCCGCGGUAAUACAGAGGGUGCAAGCGUUAAUCGGAAUUACUGGGCGUAAAGCGCGCGUAGGUGGUGUGUUAAGUUGGAUGUGAAAUCCCCGGGCUCAACCUGGGAACUGCAUUCAAAACUGACUGACUAGAGUAUGGUAGAGGGUGGUGGAAUUUCCUGUGUAGCGGUGAAAUGCGUAGAUAUAGGAAGGAACACCAGUGGCGAAGGCGACCACCUGGACUAAUACUGACACUGAGGUGCGAAAGCGUGGGGAGCAAACA